rnacentral:lncRNA from 10 species
CACUUCUAUAUGGUUGAUCUUCUUUCUCCAGGAUGUCACAUUGUGCUUAGACAUUCUCAGUUUGUGAAAAAUUAUGAGGUUCAUGAACCCCCUGAGAAGCCCACCUUGGAAAUGAAGAUGUCUAUUGAGAGAGAAAAUGGUCUCAUAUUUCAGAAAAUACUCAAACAAUAGGAGAACUAAAAACAACUACAAGAAAAUAAACCUCAAAAUACAUUUAAUCAAAAGUAAGAGAAAAAAGAAACCCAAGAAAAUCCCAGAUUUCUUUUAAGUGCUGCCAAAAGCAGAGCUGAACAGGAAGCCCAUGUUGUUUCUUCAGGUAAGACCAGAGGUUUCAAGGGGCAGUAAGGGCUUGAAGUUCUCAGAGCUGUCCAGUGAAUAUUCCUUUUGAACAAGAGGUCUCCACUCUGAAAGGGACAAGAUAGAGCAGAGCAAGUUGUUUUGCUGAAGGAGGCAGAGGCUGGGUGCGGUGGCUCACGCCUGUAAUCCCAGCACUUUGGGAUCACCUGAGGUCAGGAGUUCAAGGCUAGCCUGGUUAACGUGGUGAAACCCAGU